AUUGAACGCUGGCGGCAGGCCUAACACAUGCAAGUCGAACGAGUGGCGGACGGGUGAGUAAUGUCUGGGAAUCUGCCUGAUGGAGGGGGAUAACUACUGGAAACGGUAGCUAAUACCGCAUACCAUCAGAUGUGCCCAAAUGGGAUUAGCUAGUGGGUGGGGUAACGGCUCACCAAGGCGACGAUCCCUAGCUGGUCUGAGAGGAUGACCGUCAACACUGGAACGGAACAAGGGCCCAGACUCCUAGGGGGGGCAGCAGUGGGGAAUAUUGCACAAUGGGCGAAAGCCGGCUGAUGCAAUGCCGCGUGUAGGAAGAAGUCCUUCGGGUGGUAAAGUACGUUCAGCGGGGAGGCGGUACCCACAGAAGAAGCACCGGCUAACUCCGUGCCAGCCGCCGCGGUAAUAC
rnacentral:rRNA from 1 species